GAAAUGCGAUAAGUAAUGUGAAUUGCAGAAUUCAGUGAAUCAUCGAAUCUUUGAACGCACCUUGCGCUCCUUGGUAUUCCUUGGAGCAUGCCUGUUUGAGUAUCAUGAAAUCUGCAAAGUAAAUCUUUUGUUAACUCAAUUGGUUUCUACUUUGGUAUUGGAGGUCUUUGCAGCUUCACACCUGCUCCUCUUUGUUCAUUAGCUGGAUCUCAGUGUUAUGCUUGGUUCCACUCGGCGUGAUAAGUUAUCUAUCGCUGAGGACACUGUAAAAGGUGGCCAAGGUAAAUGCAGAUGAACCGCUUAUAAUAGUCCAUUGACUUGGACAAUACUUUUAUGAUCUGAUCUCAAAUCAGGUAGGACUACCCGCUGAACUUAAGC
rnacentral:misc_RNA from 1 species